GCCAUAGUUAAGAGAGCUAUCCAUGGAAUGGAUCUUUAAGCAAGUUACACAAAAUGAUGAAUGUGGUAUAUGAGUUAUGCACACAUACAGUAUUAAGGAAAAAAGACAGCUUGUCAAAGCCGUUUAAGGCUCAACAACAGCAGUAUUGUGUCCGUCCCUCCCAUUUUUUUUCUCUGUUUUCGUUCAUACAUACAUAUAUGCAUCUCAUCUAAAACAAACCAGAAAUUUUCACACCAGUCUUGUCUUCGGAUUAGAACUUUCUCCUCCUGUCAGGA